rnacentral:rRNA from 1 species
CACGUAGGGCGCAAGCGUUGUCCGGAAUUAUUGGGCGUAAAGAGCUCGUAGGCGGUCUGUUACGUCUGCUGUGAAAACUCGGGGCUUAACUCCGGGCCUGCAGUGGGUACGGGCAGACUAGAGUGCGGUAGGGGAGACUGGAAUUCCUGGUGUAGCGGUGAAAUGCGCAGAUAUCGGGAAGAACACCCGUGGCGAAGGCGGUUCUCUGGGACGGUACUGACGCUGAGACGCGAAAGCGUGGGGAGCGAACAGG